rnacentral:rRNA from 1 species
CACGUAGGGUGCGAGCGUUGUCCGGAUUUAUUGGGCGUAAAGAGCUCGUAGGCGGCUUGUUGCGUCGUCCGUGAAAACCCACGGCUUAACUGUGGGCUUGCGGUCGAUACGGGCGGGCUGGAGUUCGGUAGGGGAGACUGGAAUUCCUGGUGUAGCGGUGAAAUGCGCAGAUAUCAGGAGGAACACCGGUGGCGAAGGCGGGUCUCUGGGCCGAUACUGACGCUGAGGAGCGAAAGCGUGGGGAGCGAACAGG